rnacentral:rRNA from 1 species
AGUGAACGCUGGCGGUAUGCCUAACACAUGCAAGUCGAACGGCAGCACAGUAAGAGCUUGCUCUUACGGGUGUCGAGUGGCGGACGGGUGAGGAAUACAUCGGAAUCUACUUUUUCGUGGGUGAUAACGUAGGGAAACUUACGCUAAUACCGCAUACGACCUACGGGUGAAAGCAGGGGAUCUUCUGACCUUGCGCGAUUGAAUGAGCCGAUGUCGGAUUAGCUAGUUGGCGGGGUAAAGGCCCACCAAGGCGACGAUCCGUAGCUGGUCUGAGAGGAUGAUCAGCCAGACUGGAACUGAGACACGGUCCAGACUCCUACGGGAGGCAGCAGUGGGGAAUAUUGGACAAAGGGCGAAAGCCUGAUCCAGCCAUACCGCGUGGGUGAAGAAGGCCUUCGGGUUGUAAAGCCCUUUUGUUGGGAAAGAAAAGCAGCAGGUUAAUACCCCGCUGUUCUGACGGUACCCAAAGAAUAAGCACCGGCUAACUUCGUG